GUGGGGAAUCUUCCGCAAUGGACGAAAGUCUGACGGAGCAACGCCGCGUGAGUGAAGAAGGUUUUCGGAUCGUAAAGCUCUUUCGUUAGGGACGAACGUGCUCUUUGUGAAUAAUGAGGAGUAAUGACGGUACCUAAAUAAGAAGCCACGGCUAACUACGUGCCAGCAGCCGCGGUAAUACGUAGGUGGCAAGCGUUGUCCGGAAUUAUUGGGCGUAAAGCGCGCGCAGGCGGGAUAUCAAGUCUGUCUUAAAAGUGCGAGGCUCAACCUCGUGAGGGGACAGAAACUGGUAUUCUUGAGUGUCGGAGAGGAAAGUGGAAUUCCAAGUGUAGCGGUGAAAUGCGUAGAGAUUUGGAAGAACACCAGUGGCGAAGGCGACUUUCUGGACGAAAACUGACGCUGAGGCGCGAAAGCCAGGGGAGCGAACGGGAUUAGAUACCCGAGUAGUCC
rnacentral:rRNA from 1 species